AAGACCUUGCGCUUUUGGAGCGGCCGAUGCCUGAUUAGCUAGUUGGUAGGGUAAUGGCCUACCAAAGCUUCGAUCAGUAGCUGGUCUGAGAGGACGACCAGCCACACUGGGACUGAGACACGGCCCAGACUCCUACGGGAGGCAGCAGUGGGGAAUUUUGGACAAUGGGCGCAAGCCUGAUCCAGCCAUGCCGCGUGAGUGAAGAAGGCCUUCGGGUUGUAAAGCUCUUUCAGCCGGGAAGAAAAGGCUACGACGAAUAAUCGUAGCUCAUGACGGUACCGGAAGAAGAAGCACCGGCUAACUACGUGCCAGCAGCCGCGGUAAUACGUAGGGUGCGAGCGUUAAUCGGAAUUACUGGGCGUAAAGGGUGCGCAGGCGGUUUUGUAAGUCAGAUGUGAAAUCCCCGGGCUUAACCUGGGAACU
rnacentral:rRNA from 1 species